rnacentral:rRNA from 1 species
AGUAAGGGCGACUGAAAAGGGAGGAGCCCAGCGCAUAGCCUCGCGGACUCAGCGUCCGUCGAGGGGUGCUGCGUUGCGGUGGAUCCGUCCCGCCGAGCUCGCUUACCGCCUAAGUCAUUGCUUGAAAGCAGCCCCGUGGAGGGUGUUAGGCCCGUGUGGCGGCGCCUGUAAGAGGGUGAAGGCGAGUUUGGCGGAGGGGUCUCACCGACGAGUCGGGUUGCCUAGUAUCGCAGCCCUAAGCAGGUGGUAAACUCCAUCUAAGGCUAAAUACAACCACGAGUCCGAUAGCUGACAAGUACCGUGAGGGAAAGCUGAAAAGAACUUUGAAGAGAGAGUUCAAGAGGACGUGAAACCGUUGGAAGGUUAAACGGGUGGAGCCGCGAAGGUCGAGAGAGGGGAUUCCGGCCGCCGCGACCUGAGCCCACGGGCUUCCUUCAUCCCCUCUGCGGGAGCGACCGGGCUGGCGAAAGCCGGCCGGGCGUGGAGGCUCUGGGCACGGGGCGAGGCGGGCUCAUUUCUCCCUCUCUUUGUCGCCGCGACCCGUCGUGGCGGCCCCUAGCCCCCGGACGGACUGGUAGGCGGCGGCUCCGGCCGUCGUCGAGGACCGACCGGGUGUGCGUGCGGGCUGCCGUGCGACGGAGUUCGUGUUGGGGGGCCCGCGAGGGCUCCUCGCGGCGUACACGGGAACGGUAAUCCAUCCGACCCGUCUUGAAACACGGACCAAGGAGUCCAGCACGUGCGCGAGUCGAAGGGUGUGACUAAACCCGGAGGCGAAAUGAAAGUGAGCACUUUGUGGCAGGCCGAUCCCCGGCCUGGCCCCGUCUGCUGCGGCGGCGGACACUGCGGAAAGCUUCGGUUAGUACGCGGCGUCCGUUACGCCCGGGACGCGGGUCGGGCGGGCAGCCUCACGGCUGUUCGAAUGUAAUCCGGGGCGCAGGCCGAGGACUUGUCGCCAAUCGGCCCCGCGUCCUCGAGGCGCGGGAUCCCGAUGGCAAGUACCUGAGAGCGCACACGCUGGGACCCGAAAGAUGGUGAACUAUGCCUGGCGAGGACGAAGCCAGAGGAAACUCUGGUGGAAGUCCGAAGCAGUUCUGACGUGCAAAUCGAUUGUCAGAGCUGGGUAUAGGGGCGAAAGACCAAUCGAACCAUCUAGUAGCUGGUUCCCUCCGAAGUUUCCCUCAGGAUAGCUGGGACCCACUCAUUCAAUGAGUUUCAUCCGGUAAAGCAAAUGAUUAGAGGCCGGAUGGGGGUGCAAUGCCCUCAACCUAUUCUCAAACUUUAAAUGGGUGAGACGCCGAGCUUGCUUGAUAUCACACGAAGCUCUGGCAAAGAGAAUCAGGGUCCCAAGUGGGCCACUUUUGGUAAGCAGAACUGGCGCUGUGGGAUGAACCAAACGCACGAGUUAAGGGGCCAAAAGAACGCUAAUUCAGACANUACGAAAAGGUGUUGGUUGCUAUAGACAGCAGGGCGGUGGCCAUGGAAGUUGGAAUCCGCUAAGGAGUGUGUAACAACUCACCUGCCGAAG